UACCCAUGAAGGGGAGACCUUCUCAAUAAGACCUUAUACCUCUCCCAUGCAUCAUACAGGGUCUCUAAGUCCAUUUGCAUGAAGGAAGAUAUAUCAUUCCUCAGCUU
rfam:Gossypium hirsutum cultivar TM-1 chromosome 13, whole genome shotgun sequence